rnacentral:rRNA from 1 species
UGUAAAGAGGGAUAGGAGAAUUGGAGGGCAAGUUUGGUGCCAGCAGCCGCGGUAAUACCGACUCCAAGAGUGUGUAUGAGAGAUGCUGCAGUUAAAAAGUCCGUAGUCAUAGAAGGGCAAAGAGAGAUGCGAGGUCUCACAGUGCGAUGAUGGAGGAGCCGAUGGGGAACAUAGUAUACCAGGGCGAGAGAUGAAAUGCCAAGACCCCUGGUGGACUGAGCGAGGCGAAGGCGAUGUUCUUGUAGGCAUUCGGUGAUCAAGGACGAAGGCUGGAGUAUCGAAAGUGAUUAGAUACCGCAGUAGUUCCAGCAGUAAAAGAUGCCGACAUGCUCAUUGGACACAGUGGGCAGGGAGAAAUCUUAGAGUUCGGGCUCUGGGGAUAGUAUGCUCGCAAGGGUGAAAAUUAAAGAAAUUGACGGAGCUACACCACAAGGAGUGGAUUGUGCGGCUUAAUUUGACUCAACGCGAGGAAACUUACCAGGGCCAAGUAUUGUGUAGAAACGAGCAAUACAGGAGUGGUGCAUGGUCGUUGGAAAUUGAUGGGAUGACUUUGACCUUAAAUGGUUGAAUGAGUGAGAUCUUUUGGACAUGUUCCGCACGGAACAGGAAGGAAAAGGCUAUAACAGAUCCGAGAUGCCCUCAGAUGCCCUGGGCUGCACGCGCAAUACAAUAGCAGGUAGAGAGAGAGACAGGAAGGUGCUCAGAUGGACUAUGUGCUGUAAGGCACAUACGAAAGAGGAAUUCCUAGUAAGUGUGUAUCAACAAUGGAUAUGAAUAUC